rnacentral:tRNA from 1 species
CAGAAAAUAGUUUAUAAAAAUAUUAACUUUGGAAGUUAAAGAUGCUAACACUUAGCUUUUCUGA